CACAGAGGCGCGGAGUUCAUCAGUAACUGGCUUCAAACGUCCAGCCGGGACAGGGAGCAGCAAAAGGGGCCUUCGCCGAAGGCGGUACGCGGCACGUACCGGCCUGGGUCCGUCACCGAACAGGGGCGGAACUGUCACAUGAAACGAUGUGGUGCGCUGUG
rnacentral:ncRNA from 1 species